rnacentral:rRNA from 2 species
GAAAGCCUUCGGCUCAACCGAAGAAGUGCAUCGGAAACUGGGAAACUUGAGUGCAGAAGAGGACAGUGGAACUCCAUGUGUAGCGGUGAAAUGCGUAGAUAUAUGGAAGAACACCAGUGGCGAAGGCGGCUGUCUGGUCUGUAACUGACGCUGAGGCUCGAAAGUAUGGGUAGCAAACAGGAUUAGAUACCCUGGUAGUCCAUACCGUAAACGAUGAAUGCUAAGUGUUGGAGGGUUUCCGCCCUUCAGUGCUGCAGCUAACGCAUUAAGCAUUCCGCCUGGGGAGUACGGCCGCAAGGCUGAAACUCAAAGGAAUUGACGGGGGCCCGCACAAGCGGUGGAGCAUGUGGUUUAAUUCGAAGCUACGCGAAGAACCUUACCAGGUCUUGACAUACUAUGCAAAUCUAAGAGAUUAGACGUUCCCUUCGGGGACAUGGAUACAGGUGGUGCAUGGUUGUCGUCAGCUCGUGUCGUGAGAUGUUGGGUUAAGUCCCGCAACGAGCGCAACCCUUAUUAUCAGUUGCCAGCAUUAAGUUGGGCACUCUGGUGAGACUGCCGGUGACAAACCGGAGGAAGGUGGGGAUGACGUCAAAUCAUCAUGCCCCUUAUGACCUGGGCUACACACGUGCUACAAUGGAUGGUACAACGAGUUGCGAACUCGCGAGAGUAAGCUAAUCUCUUAAAGCCAUUCUCAGUUCGGAUUGUAGGCUGCAACUCGCCUACAUGAAGUCGGAAUCGCUAGUAAUCGCGGAUCAGCAUGCCGCGGUGAAUACGUUCCCGGGCCUUGUACACACCGCCCGUCACACCAUGAGAGUUUGUAACACCCAAAGUCGGUGGGGUAACCUUUUAGGAACCAGCCGCCUAA